UGAGCGUCAUCCCUCUUCGUUGCAGAAAGGGGAACACAGCAGAACGGACGUUGGCGUGAAAAGGCAGCGAGGUCCAGGAAGGGGCCACCUCCGCCAUCCCCCAAUACACAUUCAUUCCUGACUCCACACCGACAAGACGGAGGAGCAGCAAAGACGUGGGUGUUUACGAAAAGGGCCGCACCUUGGCUGGAGCGACUGGACUGCUGCGCUCUUACCGUGCUCACCCUCCCUCGAAACACAGGCACUCGCUUCCCCCUUCCGCAUCUCUCAACACCGGCACUUUUCCCCACCCACCCCGUGCUCUUUCCGUCUUCUUGGGUGUGCGAGCGGAAGGCGGUUGAACGGUUGCCGGCUUUUUUUCUACUCAUCUUCACUUAGGAAGCACAUCCGCCCUGCAUCAUGGCGUUCCGCGGCAGCAGCGCGCGGCUCGCGGCCACGCCAGGCGUCGGCAUCGCGCCAGAGACAACGCCGGUCAAGUACGUGCCGGAAAUGCUGAACAUUCAAAACGCCAAGUGGUGGAACGGCCGCGGCAAGCCCGUCUACCGCUCCACCUACAACGAGAAAUCGUGGCUGCAGAAGGCAAGGUGGGGCGCCUUCACCAAAGGGAGCCGCCCUGUCAUGCGCCAGCGCUACUCCGCUGCGGCGCUGAAGGAGGCGCUCGAGAUGGUGCCUGAAGGGUUUGAAACAUGCGAUGUGCCGCGUCCGCCGCAGCGCAUCCGGGCGCAGUCGGAGGGGGUGGUAGGGCGGUGGUACACGAACUACUGGACUCUGCACUCUGUCCGGUAUCAGUGUCAACUCGCGGGGGUCGAAUGGCAGUUUGGCGAGCGGCAGCGGCCGCGCACCAACUACGACGAGCCACACAUGUACACCGAUUUUGAGGAGACGAAGGCCAUCCGUGACUACCGCAGCCGCUGGAUCAACGUCAACCGCUCCCUUGUGGGUAUGUCGAAGCGAAUGAAGGAGUCGGAGGAGGAGGCGCGCUAUCUGCACUUCAAGAAGGUGCAGGACACCUUCUGGUCGAACAGGAAGGUCCUCGUGAACCGCGUCAAGUCGAUGCACAACCAGGGAACACUGCAGUCGGCCAAGGACCUGCCCAUCAAGACAAUCAACAUCAAGGCGUUUCUUGCGGAUUAGUUCUGAGGGCUUGCGCGUGCACCUUUCAUGUCGCUCUUCUGCUCUCAUCCCUCCUCGCCUCCCUGCGCAAGCCUUUACGACUUGCUGCACCCCACUCCUCUUUCUCUUUAUCUUCUCGGGCCUCUCGGCAGCGAGGAGCAGCGCUAUGCGAGCUCAGGAGGCCGGCGUGUUGUUUGCGGUGGUGACGCGGAAAAAGGGGGUGGGACAGAAGCAAACAGGGGGCACUGCUGCUUCAUGGCAACACAAACGCUGCUGCAAGGCAGAGGCGUGGGGAGGAUGCGCACCAUGGCGGGGGUCAUUGAGCACAGGCUAUGCAGAAGCCGCAACACCUGAAGGCAUACCGCACCAACCGCAUUCCCGUUUUGCUCCCCCUCUUUUCCUCCUCUUUCCUUGGUUGCAGUGGUCAUGGCUGUGACUGCGCGUGGACAACCGAUGUCGGUGGUGCUUGGGCGUUGUGAUUUGUAGAACAAAAAAAACACACAGCGUUAUGACGACACGAACACGAUGGCACGGUAUGUGUGUGUGUGUGUGUGGGUAAGGAUGCACAGCGGACGCAGGAGUGACGCCGCACGAAGCGGUCGAGUCGAUCGCUCGGGCCCGCUGCCAGUGAGUGGGGGGAAAGAAAACGAAAAAGCACAGAGAGGGGGCGCAAGCACGGGCUGCAUGUAUUGUGCUCUGGUUUCGCGAAUCGUUCCAGCCCCACAAGAGCGCAUGAAACCGGCAACCGGCCCCCCUCCUCCUCCUCGCUGUGCACAGCGUGUGGCGUGGUGAGUGGGGGAGAGAGCAUGACAUUAUCUCUGCUAUUGCUUGAGUAACGUGCAAGUGCGUCUUCUCUCUUGCCUAUGCAGUGAUUCCUGCUCCUCUGCCCUCGCAGAACUACUGCAGCAACCCUCGCUGAAUGUGAACUGUGCGCGCCAUCUCACACCUACCACCAACAGGCUUCUCCCCUGCCGCCCUCCCCACCCCGUCCAUC
rnacentral:misc_RNA from 1 species